UACGUAGGGAGCAAGCGUUGUCCGGAAUUACUGGGUAUAAAGGGAGCGUAGGCGGGUUUGUAAGUUGGAUGUGAAAUUUAUGGGCUCAACUCAUAAACUGCAUUCGAAACUACAAAUCUUGAGUGGAGUAGAGGCAGGCGGAAUUCCUAGUGUAGCGGUGAAAUGCGUAGAUAUUAGGAGGAACACCAGUGGCGAAGGCGGCCUGCUGGGCUCUAACUGACGCUGAGGCUCGAAAGCAUGGGUAGCAAAC
rnacentral:rRNA from 1 species